UACGUAGGGGGCAAGCGUUGUCCGGAAUCAUUGGGCGUAAAGCGCGUGUAGGCGGCUCGGUAAGUCUGCUGUGAAAGUCCAGGGCUCAACCCUGGGAUGCCGGUGGAUACUGUCGAGCUCGAGUCCGGAAGAGGCGAGUGGAAUUCCUGGUGUAGCGGUGAAAUGCGCAGAUAUCAGGAAGAACACCUAUGGCGAAGGCAGCUCUCUGGGACGGUACUGACGCUGAGACGCGAAAGCGUGGGGAGCGAACAGG
rnacentral:rRNA from 1 species